UGCCAGCCGCCGCGGUAAUACGAAGGGGGCGAGCGUUGUUCGGAAUUAUUGGGCGUAAAGGGCGCGCAGGCGGUUUGGAUAGUUAGACGUGAAAGCCCUGGGCUUAACCUAGGAACUGCGUUUAAUACUGCCAAACUAGAGAACUAGAGAGGAUAGCGGAACUCCCAGUGUAGAGGUGAAAUUCGUAGAUAUUGGGAAGAACAUCAGUGGCGAAAGCGGCUGUCUGGCUAGUUUCUGACGCUGAGGCGCGAAAGCGUGGGGAGCAAACAGGAUUAGAUA
rnacentral:rRNA from 1 species